CGGCGGAACACGUGAAAUUCCGUCGGAAUCCGGGAGGACCAUCUCCCAAGGCUAAAUACUCCCUAGUGACCGAUAGUGAACCAGUACCGUGAGGGAAAGGUGAAAAGCACCCCGGAAGGGGAGUGAAACAGUUCCUGAAACCGUGUGCCUACAAGUAGUUAGAGCCCGUUAAUGGGUGAUAGCGUGCCUUUUGUAGAAUGAACCGGCGAGUUACGAUUUGUUGCAAGGUUAAGCGGAAAAAGCGGAGCCGUAGCGAAAGCGAGUCUGAAUAGGGCGCAUAAGUAACAGGUCGUAGACCCGAAACCAGGUGAUCUACCCAUGUCCAGGAUGAAGGUAAGGUAAUACUUACUGGAGGUCCGAACCCACGCACGUUGAAAAGUGCGGGGAUGAGGUGU
rnacentral:rRNA from 1 species